GACGAACGCUGGCGGCGUGCUUAACACAUGCAAGUCGAACGGUGAAGCGCCUUCCUUUUUGGUGGGUGUGGAUGAGUGGCGAACGGGUGCGUAACACGUGAGUAACCUGCCCCCUUCUUCUGGAUAACCGCAUGAACGUGUGGCUAAUACGGGAUAUUCUGGGUCUGUCGCAUGAUGGGUCUGGGAAAGAUAUUGUUUCGGUGGGGGAUGGGCUCGCGGCCGAUCAGCUUGUUGGUGGGGUGAUGGCCUACCAAGGCGGUGACGGGUAGCCGGCCUGAGAGGGUGGACGGUCACGCUGGGACUGAGACACGGCCCAGACGCCUACGAGAGGCAGCAGUGAGGAAUAUUGCACGAUGGGCGCAAGCCUGAUGCAGCGACGCCGCGUGAGGGAUGGAGGCCUUCGGGGUGUGAACCUCUUUCGCCAGUGAAGCAGGCCUGCCUCGUUUGUGGGUGUGUUGACGGUAGCUGGAGAAGAAGCGCCGGCUAACUACGUG
rnacentral:rRNA from 1 species